rnacentral:lncRNA from 1 species
AUGGAGGUGCACCGGCUCCACCUCUCCAGGGUCGCUGCCAGACCUGAACGUGUGAGAAGACCGAGAAGGAGGCCCCGGCUCAACGGCCUCCAACCUCUUCCAGUCCUCCUCCCACCGUGGCUUGGGCCUUUUGUACCCGCCCCACGUGACCCCGCCGGCCGGCUCUUCCCUGCUGCCCCGCCCCGCCCAGCUCUUCCCGCUCUCGGCCUCCCCCCUCCCGCGCUGCCGGGUCUCCACCUCCCCUUGCCUCCCGCCCCAGGCUCUUCCCGCUCCCUCCCACAAGCAGCCGUUCCCUCGCGACGCUCCCCUCCCCACGCGGCUGUUCCGCCGCCUCGCCUCCCCUCCCCCCGUCCAGAACUCACUGUCUCCAAGAUGGCGGCCGUGUCAGUUUGGGACAUUUCAGCGGUCCGGCCUGGGGUCUCUCCUUUCUCCCGGCAGAGAGAAAAGAAGAAAGAUGAGAGAGAGAGCUUCCACGAGGACUGUGGAAGGGGACCAAAGUAUGGAAUCCUGGAGAGGAAAGCAGCUUCCACACUGCGUGGAAGGGAACCCCAGAGGGGGACAUUCCUGACAGAGAGAAAGCUUCCACAAGGAUGGUGGAAGGGGACCCAAAGAUGGAAUCGAAGGAGGUGAGGAAGAAGGGGAUUAACCUGGGAGGAAUUCCCACCUUCUCCAAGCCCCCUGGCCAACAACCCACAGGCCCUAACUACCCACCCUACCUUUUCUACACUCGCUGCUCCCACAGCCCCUGACUACCCAUCCUCCCAUUUCAGCACUUCCUGCUCCCACACCCGUGACCACCCACCCUUACCUUUAUGCACUCCUUGCUCCCACAGCCCCUAACUACUUACCCUCCCAUCCAUGCACUCCCCGCUCCCACAGCCCAUGACUACCCACCGUCACAUCCAUGCAUUCCAUGUGCCUCACAGCCCCGGACUACCACCCUCAGAGCAGCAUAAGAGCCCUCCAUCCAUGAGCUUUCUGUGCCUCACAGCCCCUGACUACCAAUCCUCCCAUCCAUGCACUGCCUGCUCCACGGCCCCUAUCUACCCACCCUCCCAUCCAUGCCCUCCCUGCUCCCAUAGCCCCUGACUACCCACCCUCACAUCCAUGCACUCCCUGCUCCCAUAGCCCCUGACUACCCACCCUCACAUCCGUGCACUCCCUGCUUUCACAGCCCCUGAGUACCUACCCUCCCAUUCAUGCACUUCCUGGUCCCACAGCCCCUGACUACCCACCCUCACAUCCUUGCACUCCCUGCUUCUGCAACUCCUGACUACCCAUUCUCCCAUCCAUGCACUCCAUGCGUCCACAGCUCCGGACUACCCACCCUCCCAUCCAUGCACUGUUCUCCCGCAGCCCCUGACUACCCACCCUCCCAUCCAUGCACUCCCUAUUCCCUCAGCCCUUGACUACCCACCCUCACAUCCAUGGGCUCCCUUAUACCACAACCCCUGACUACCCACCCUCAGAGCAGCAUCAGAGCUGCCCAUCCAUGGAAUCCCUGCUCUUACAGUCCAUGACUACCCACCCUCCCAUCCAUGUACAUUCUGCUUUCACAUCCCCUGACUCCCCACCUUCAGAGCAGUAUGAGAGCUGCCCAUCCAUGCACUCCCUGCUGCCACAGCUUCUGACUACCCGCCUUCCUAUCCAUGCAUUGCCUGUGCCUCUUAGCCCCUGACUACCACCCUCAGAGCAGCAUGAGAGCCCCUCAUCCAUGUGCUCCCUGUGCCCCACUGCUUCUGACUACCCAUUCUCCCAUCCAUUCACUUCCUGUUCCCACAGCUUCUGUCUACCCACUCACCUCCAUGCACUCCCUGCACCACAUCCCCUGACUACUUACCCUCCCAUCCGUGCACUACCUGCUCCCACAGCCCCUGAGUAGCCACGCUCACAUCCAUGCACUUUCUCCUCCCACAGCACCUGACUACCCACC